rnacentral:tRNA from 1 species
GCGGGAGUGGCGGAAUGGCAGACGCGCUAGGCUCAGGACCUAGUGGCCGAAAGGCUGUGUGGGUUCGACUCCCUCCUCCCGCACCA